UCGUCAGUGAGGUAUUUCCUUACCUGUUCCUCCCUUCGGGGAAGGGCAGAACGUGAUGAAUGAGCUGAGGAUGAGCCUGUGAUUAACUGCUCAGCCCCAGUGGGUCACAACAGCCCGUUGGUGGCCAUUCUGAU
ensembl:snoRNA U8 U8 small nucleolar RNA